rnacentral:rRNA from 1 species
GCCUAUGGCCAUACCACCCUGAAUGUGCCCAGUCUCAUCUGAUCUUGGAAGCUGAGCAGCAUUAGGCCUGGUUAGCAUUUGCA